rnacentral:rRNA from 1 species
UGGGGAAUAUUCCGCAAUGGACGAAAGUCUGACGGAGCAACGCCGCGUGAGUGAUGAAGGUUUUCGGACUGUAAAGCUCUGUUGUUUAGGACGAAAGUGCCUGUUGCGAACAGUUACGGGUAUUGACGGUACUAAACGAGGAAGCCACGGCUAACUACGUGCCAGCAGCCGCGGUAAUACGUAGGUGGCAAGCGUUGUCCGGAAUUAUUGGGCGUAAAGAGCGUGUAGGCGGAGAUUUAAGUCUGUUGUGAAAAUGCGGGGCUCAACCCCGUAUUGCGAUGGAAACUGAAUUUCUUGAGUGCAGGAGAGGAAAGGUGAAUUCCCAGUGUAGCGGUGAAAUGCGUAGAUAUUGGGAGUAACACCAGUGGCGAAGGCGCCUUUCUGGACUGUGUCUGACGCUGAGAUGCGAAAGCCAGGGUAGCGAACG